AUUGAACGCUGGCGGCAGGCCUAACACAUGCAAGUCGAGCGGGUUUUCGGACCUAGCGGCGGACGGGUGAGUAAUGCGUAGGAAGCUGCCCGAUAGAGGGGGAUACCAGUUGGAAACGACUGUUAAUACCGCAUAAUGUCUACGGACCAAAGUGUGGGACCUUCGGGCCACAUGCUAUCGGAUGCGCCUACGUGGGAUUAGCUAGUUGGUGAGGUAAUGGCUCACCAAGGCGACGAUCUCUAGCUGGUUUGAGAGGAUGAUCAGCCACACUGGAACUGAGACACGGUCCAGACUCCUACGGGAGGCCGCAGUGGUGAAUAUUGGACAAUGCGCGGAAGCCUGGUCCAGCCAUGCCGCGUGUGUGAAGAAGGCCUUCGGGUUGUAAAGCACUUUCAGCGAGGAGGAAGGGGUGUGUGUUAAUAGUACACACCUUUGACGUUACUCGCAGAAGAAGCACCGGCUAACUCUGUGCCAGCAGCCGCAGUAAUAC
rnacentral:rRNA from 1 species